AUGCAAGUAGAACGCUGAAGGAGGAGCUUGCUUCUCUGGAUGAGUUGCGAACGGGUGAGUAACGCGUAGGUAACCUGCCUGGUAGCGGGGGAUAACUAUUGGAAACGAUAGCUAAUACCGCAUAAUAGCAGUUAUUGCAUGAUAACUGUUUGAAAGGUGCAAUUGCACCACUACCAGAUGGACCUGCGUUGUAUUAGCUAGUUGGUGGGGUAACGGCUCACCAAGGCGACGAUACAUAGCCGACCUGAGAGGGUGAUCGGCCACACUGGGACUGAGACACGGCCCAGACUCCUACGGGAGGCAGCAGUAGGGAAUCUUCGGCAAUGGACGGAAGUCUGACCGAGCAACGCCGCGUGAGUGAAGAAGGUUUUCGGAUCGUAAAGCUCUGUUGUAAGAGAAGAACGAGUGUGAGAGUGGAAAGUUCACACUGUGACGGUAUCUUACCAGAAAGGGACGGCUAACUACGUGCCAGCAGCCGCGGUAAU
rnacentral:rRNA from 1 species